GGGCCUGUAGCUCAGCUGGGAGAGCGCUGCGUUCGCAAUGCAGAGGUCAGGGGUUCGACUCCCCUCAGGUCCACCA
rnacentral:tRNA from 1 species